rnacentral:lncRNA from 1 species
AGCAGAGAACAAAAGAACAUAAUUUCAAUGAAGGAAUAGUAGAUGGAAGAUGAUAACUCUUUCUGUUCCUCACUUAGGAAUUCAGUCGAUUAUUCUAUCUUUUUAUAGAACUCAUUAGUACUUAUAGAAGAAUACAAUUAUUCCGUGGAAGAUCUGGAGGAAUUUAUAUAUUUUUGAGAACAGAGGCAAUGAUUCACGAGCUCAGAGGUCACUAUCACAGACCUUGAUGGGAAGGGACAUAUGUGCAAUGAACGAUGCUUCCUUUAAAGAAAAUGAGAUCCACCGAGUGAGACACACAGAGACGAUAUCCCUUGAACUUAACAUGUACAGAGGAUUAGACGGUGUGUGGCUAGGAUAUUCAAAUGGAAAAUAUUAAAUCAUAGGAAAGAUGGAUAGAUAGAAACCCCAUUAAUUGUAAUGCUAUCGGAGUCAUUUGAAUAAUGAAAUUAAUUAUAUUCAAUAUUGCAUUAAGGUAAGCGAAAAAUUAUAAAGUCUUUAUUAUAGGGAGACAAUGAUGAAUAAAAAUGCAAAUAAGAUAACAGAAAGAGUACAUGCAACAACAGUUUUUCAUUUUCUAAUCUCAAAACAGUCAUUAAUCGAACCUUGAAGCUCAGCUUUAAUGAUAUUGGAUUAUAGAAUACCCUAAUGCUCACGUGCACCGAAGGGGUCUAAACAUGAAGAAAAUUGUAUUGAACGCAUAUUAGUUAUUCUGUGUUAACUCUUCAACCUUGUCAUCAUCAAUUCUAUUAUUCAAUCUAAGAACAAUAUGUUAAAUCCAUAUAUAUUGUAAUUACUUAUAAGUUAUUUGUAUUGACUGUCAUUUGUUAGGAUGGCUAUAAAUUAUCAUUAGCAGUCUUCAUCAAAGUGAAGAUACUAAAUGAAGACUCCUUGGAGAAGGUUUGGAGUUCAAUCUAACAAAAGAUCGUAUUACUUUGUCACUCCCUGUAUUAAAGAAUAGGAUACUUUUCCACAAUUAUGUUCAUGAGUCGAUCCAUCACAUAUGGCUCGGUAUCAAAGAAAUUCCCCUGAAACUUAAUGAAAUGCUUCUCUAUUUUUUUACAAAAUUCCAAAGAAGAUUCCGAUGGUUGAAGCAGUCCCCCUCUUGACAAUGUUUUAAGGCAUGGACUUGGAGGAACUUGGAUGUGGAAGUAUUAAACCCCAGAGUGGGAAAUUUUUGAUGCAACGAUUUGGCCACAUAUCCAUCAACAUAAAUAAAUUCCUCAUUUUCAGAGAUUUUAGGAA